GAUGAACGCUGGCGGCGUGCCUAAUACAUGCAAGUCGAGCGAACAGACGAGGAGCUUGCUCCUCUGACGUUAGAGGCGGACGGGUGAGUAACACGUGGAUAACCUACCUAUAAGACUGGGAUAACUUCGGGAAACCGUAGCUAAUACCGGAUAAUAUAUUGAACCGCAUGGUUCAAUAGUGAAAGACGGUUUUGCUGUCACUUAUAGAUGGAUCCGCGCCGCAUGAGCUAGUUGGUAAGGUAACGGCUUACCAAGGCGACGAUGCGUAGCCGACCUGAGAGGGUGAUCGGCCACACUGGAACUGAGACACGGUCCAGACUCCGACGGGAGGCAGCAGUAGGGAAUCUUCCGCAAUGGGCGAAAGCCUGACGGAGCAACGCCGCGUGAGUGAUGAAGGUCUUCGGAUCGUAAAGCUCUGUUAUUAGGGAAGAACAAAUGUGUAAGUAACUAUGCACGUCUUGACGGUACCUAAUCAGAAAGCCACGGCUAACUACGUG
rnacentral:rRNA from 1 species